rnacentral:misc_RNA from 1 species
GAAAUGCGAUAAGUAGUGUGAAUUGCAGAAUUCAGUGAAUCAUCGAAUCUUUGAACGCACAAUGCGCCCCUUGGUAUUCCAUGGGGCAUGCCUGUUCGAGCGUCAUUUGUACCCUCAAGCUCUGCUUGGUGUUGGGUGUUUGUCCCGUCUCCGCGCGUGGACUCGCCCCAAAGUGAUUGGCAGCCGGCGUACUGGUCCCGGAGCGCAGCACAUGUCGCGCAAACGAGUGCCUUGGUACGGCGGCGUCCAUAAGCCCCUCUCUCACGCUCUUGACCUCGGAUCAGGUAGGGAUACCCGCUGAACUUAAGC